GCAGUAGAAAGAGAAAAAGUCAACACCGCCUCCACUGAGGCUCAAUCUCAUGACAUCCCAUAUGGGAGAGUCACUAGAUGUCAUUUGAGCACAAAUUACUUGGCAUAU